UGUCCGCCAGGGUACUACAAGCGUAAGCUUAAAACCCAAAGGACUUGGCGGUGCUUUAGACCCACCUAGAGGAGCCUGUCCUAUAACCGAUAACCCCCGAUAAACCUCACCCUCACUUGUUCUCUCAGCUUAUAUACCGCCGUCGCCAGCCUACCCUGUGAAGGCCUAAAUAGUCAGCCAAAAUAACAUAUUUCAAAACGUCAGGUGAGGUGUAGCUUAUGUGAGGGGAUUAGAUGGGCUACAUUCUCUGCAAUCAGAAUAUACGAAAAAUGUACUGAAAAUUACAUUAGAAGGAGGAUUUAGCAGUAAGUGAAAAGUAUGAGUGUUUCACUGAAACCGGCUCUAAAGCGCGCACACACCGCCCGU
rnacentral:rRNA from 1 species